AGCAUCUACUUACGAACGACGUCUGAAACAUUUUUAAGCCACGGGUGAAGAUAUUUUCGAGAACGACGGAAACACAUUGUUUAUUCAGGUAUCGACAUCUGUACGACAUAUCUAAUGACGCUGAGAUGGCGAUUUUGCCAAGAGAGGUAAUUCUAGGACCGUCUGAGGUUUUCAGUUGCCGGAUAGACUGCCCAGCCUGAAAGCGGAAAAAAGAGCAUCCUCAAGUAAAAAUUGAACCUGAAACAGCGGUUUAAGAAAAAGUCAAUGAUCAAACCAUCGUCAAAACAAAGGCUGAAAAAUAAAUUGUCUUCGAAGAUAUUCGGGAAGGCCGAUUAGGGACUCUUCGUGUACAUAAAUCGUGGAAAAUAACUUUACAAAUGGGAGAACAUUCAUUCAUCACGGCUAGUGCAAGAUAAGUUUCCUAUCUACAAGAUCUAAUAUCAGUUGAGGUAAAUGCAGAAGAAAAAAGCGGAAAUAUGAAAGCACUCGGAGCAUUUGAGCAUAAAACUGUUUGUCUACCAGAUUGGGAAGAAUUGAUUGUAGAUUCGUGAUGUUCGAUGGCCCCUUGAAUUUGUACGCUGCUGUGUGGGAAUAACGAACUGUGGAAAAUACAUUAAUUUCCUUCAAUUAAA